GCAGUCGACGAUGAUGCCCAGCUUGCUGGGCGGAUUAGUGGCGAACGGGUGAGUAAUACGUGAGUAACCUGCCCUUGACUCUGGGAUAAGCCUGGGAAACUGGGUCUAAUACUGGAUACUACCUCUUGCCGCAUGGUGGGUGGUGGAAAGGGUUUUACUGGUUUUGGAUGGGCUCACGGCCUAUCAGCUUGUUGGUGGGGUAAUGGCUCACCAAGGCGACGACGGGUAGCCGGCCUGAGAGGGUGACCGGCCACACUGGGACUGAGACACGGCCCAGACUCCUACGGGAGGCAGCAGUGGGGAAUAUUGCACAAUGGGCGGAAGCCUGAUGCAGCGACGCCGCGUGAGGGAUGACGGCCUUCGGGUUGUAAACCUCUUUCAGUAGGGAAGAAGCGAGAGUGACGGUACCUGCAGAAGAAGCGCCGGCUAACUACGUGCCAGCAGCCGCGGUAAUACGUAGGGCGCAAGCGUUGUCCGGAAUUAUUGGGCGUAAAGAGCUCGUAGGCGGUUUGUCGCGUCUGCUGUGAAAGCCCGGGGCUCAACCCCGGGUCUGCAGUGGGUACGGGCAGACUAGAGUGCAGUAGGGGAGACUGGAAUUCCUGGUGUAGCGGUGAAAUGCGCAGAUAUCAGGAGGAACACCGAUGGCGAAGGCAGGUCUCUGGGCUGUUACUGACGCUGAGGAGCGAAAGCAUGGGGAGCGAACAGGAUUAGAUACCCUGGUAGUCCAUGCCGUAAACGUUGGGCACUAGGUGUGGGGGACAUUCCACGUUUUCCGCGCCGUAGCUAACGCAUUAAGUGCCCCGCCUGGGGAGUACGGCCGCAAGGCUAAAACUCAAAGGAAUUGACGGGGGCCCGCACAAGCGGCGGAGCAUGCGGAUUAAUUCGAUGCAACGCGAAGAACCUUACCAAGGCUUGACAUUCACCGGACCGCCCCAGAGAUGGGGUUUCCCUUCGGGGCUGGUGGACAGGUGGUGCAUGGUUGUCGUCAGCUCGUGUCGUGAGAUGUUGGGUUAAGUCCCGCAACGAGCGCAACCCUCGUUCUAUGUUGCCAGCACGUGAUGGUGGGGACUCAUAGGAGACUGCCGGGGUCAACUCGGAGGAAGGUGGGGAUGACGUCAAAUCAUCAUGCCCCUUAUGUCUUGGGCUUCACGCAUGCUACAAUGGCCGGUACAAAGGGUUGCGAUACUGUGAGGUGGAGCUAAUCCCAAAAAGCCGGUCUCAGUUCGGAUUGAGGUCUGCAACUCGACCUCAUGAAGUCGGAGUCGCUAGUAAUCGCAGAUCAGCAACGCUGCGGUGAAUACGUUCCCGGGCCUUGUACACACCGCCCGUCAAGUCACGAAAGUUGGUAACACCCGAAGCCGGUGGCCUAACCCCUUGUGGGA
rnacentral:rRNA from 1 species